rnacentral:misc_RNA from 1 species
UCUCCGUAGGUGAACCUGCGGAGGGAUCAUUACCGAGUGAGGGUCCUUGUGGCCCGACCUCCAACCCUUUUGUGAACCACCUCGUUGCUUCGGGGGCGACCCUGCCGCUUCGGCGGUGCGGUGCCCCCGGAGGCCAUUAAACACUGCAUCAUUGCGUCGGAGUUAAAGUAAAUUAAACAAAACUUUCAACAACGGAUCUCUUGGUUCCAGCAUCGAUGAAGAACGCAGC